CCGAGUUUACAACUCCCAAACCCCUGUGAACAUACCAAUUGUCGCCUCGGCGGAUCAGCCCGCUCCCGGUAAAACGGGACGGCCCGCCAGAGGACCCCUAAACUCUGUUUCUAUAUGUAACUUCUGAGUAAAACCAUAAAUAAAUCA
rnacentral:misc_RNA from 1 species